AACCUUAUGGACCUGCGGGCGUAUACCUGCGGAGGUAUCAUUACCGAGCCGUGAGGGUCACCUGGAAACAGGCUUGACCUUUCACCUGGCCACCCUUGUUUAUCUUAACCUGUUGCUUUGGUGGGCCCGCCGCAAUGGCCGCCGGGAAAUUUGUACGUUCCGGGCCCGUGCCCACCAAAGUCUUUAUGAAUUCUUUGUUAUAUUUUUGCUGUCUGAGCAUUAAAAGUGAAAUAUACUUAA
rnacentral:misc_RNA from 1 species